UUGUUAAAAGAGCUUCAGGACCUCUUUUGUCUUCACCAAGCAGACCACGCGCAGACAUAAGGGUCUGCAGCUUGUUUGUUUUUCAGAAGACAAUUCAUUAAAAAACCUCUUCAAUGGCUCUUCCUCGCGCAGAUCAUAUCUUACCUCUUCACAUACUUCUUCAACCUCUUCCAAACACAACUCUCUCAAAACCCUAGUUCCCUUCUCCAUUCCACAGCCGACCUCCCCUGCUCCUCCACCUCCAGCCGCCGACCUCCCCUGCUCCUCCACUUCCCCUGCUCCUCCACCUCUCCCCGCAGUCGUUCUCCACCGCCGAGCACCACCCCCUUCCACAGCCGCAACCCCCGUCGUUCUCCACCCCAUCUGAACCUCUCCAGCAGUCGUGCUCCACCCCCUGGUCCAGCGCAGCCGUCGAUCUCCACCCCCUCCACCGCCGCAGACCUUGUAUAUCCACUCCUCCUCCAACAUCUAAGGAAACUGCCCAUGAAAAGAACCAAAAGUACAAGGAGGGGAAAUCAGACCUUGAACGGUUUAAGCUUUCGGGCCCGGAUGGAAGCAGUUACUGGGUCAGUCAUGAAGCACAAAUCAUUCGAAGUGAAAAGAAGAAGUUUGAUGAUUGAUCUACAUUUGAAACAUGGAAAUUGUAAAUUGUAAAUUCCCCACCCGCUUUCAUUUCAAUGUUAUCAAUGUUUAGAGGUUAAGGAUCGGUUCGUUUGAUGUGUCAAAUAUGAAAUUAUGAACUAAUUGUUCUUGUCAAUAAAAUUCAAGCUGAUUUGAUCUCUGAAUUUGAUCAUUGCAUCUUGAUCA